rnacentral:tRNA from 1 species
ACUCAGUUGGUAUAGCUUACAUGUGACUCUUGAUCUCAGAGUUGUGAGUUCAAACCCCACACUGGGUG